GACGAACGCUGGCGGCGUGCCUAAUACAUGCAAGUCGAACGCAGUGGGGACGGGUGAGUAACACGUGGGUAACCUCCCCUCAAAGUGGAUAACACUUGGAAACUGCUGCUAAACCGAUACUGAUUGAUGGACCCGCGGUGCAUUAGCUAGUUGGUGUGGUAACGGCUCACCAAGGCAACGAUGCAUAGACGACCUGAGAGGGUGAUCGGCCACACUGGGACUGAGACACGGCCCAGACUCCUACGGGAGGCAGCAGUAGGGAAUCUUCGGCAAUGGACGAAAGUCUGACCGAGCAACGCCGCGUGAGUGAAGAAGGUUUUCGGAUCGUAAAACUCUGUUGUUAGAGAAGCGGUAUCUAACCAGAAAGCCACGGCUAACUACGUGCCAGCAGCCGCGGUAAUUC
rnacentral:rRNA from 1 species